GAGCGAAGCGAGAGAACGUUGCCGCAGGCAACGGCCCGAAGGGCGAGGCGCUUUAGCGCCGAGUAAUCCUUCCCCCACCACCA
rnacentral:sRNA from 2 species